GCCCCCGGCCCGGCCCGUGAAGAGACAGAGAGGCUAGGGCCGGAGAGAGCGCGCGGGGCCGGGGCCGAGGGGCCGCCAUGGAGGCCGAGCCGGGCCCGGCGCAGCUGUGGCUCAAGCAGCGCCGCUGCCUCCUCAGCCUCGACCGCCCGCGGGGGCUGCUCGUCUGGGGGCCCGCCUCGGCCCCGACCCCGGGACCCGUCUUGACAGAUACCUGUUCAGUUCCCGUUUCUGAGAUUAUCACUGUAGAAGAAACAGAAAUUGACGAGAAGCACUAUCAUACUGGAAAAUGGCAAAAAAUGGGAAAACCGUACGCUUUUACAGUGUACUAUGUAAAGAGAGCCCGGCGUCACCGCUGGCGGUGCAGUCAUGUGACCUUUUGGUGCACGGAGGAGGGGCUCUGUAACCAGUGGAUACAAACUCUCAAAGAGCUGCUGGAGAAGCUGACAUGUAGACCAAAGCACUUACUUGUGUACAUUAAUCCCUUUGGAGGAAAAAGACAAGGCAAGCGAAUCUACGAACAGAAAGUCGCACCACUGUUUAAUUUAGCUUCUAUCACUGCUGACGUCAUCGUUACUGAACAUGCUAACCAUGCCAAGGACAGUUUAUUUGAAAUUAAUAUUGAGAAAUAUGAUGGAGUUGUCUGUGUCGGUGGAGACGGCAUGUUCAGCGAGGUGUUACAUGGGCUCAUUGGGAGGACACAGAGGGAUUGUGGUGUAGACCAGAAUAAUCCCAAAGCAUCCUUAGUCCAGUGCAAUCUCAGAAUUGGGAUAAUCCCCGCAGGUUCAACAGAUUGCGUGUGUUACGCCACGGUUGGUGUCAACGACCCGGUCACAUCGGCAUUACACAUAAUAAUUGGUGACUCUCUGGCCAUGGACGUGUCCUCGGUGCAUCACAACAACACCUUCCUCAAGUACUCCGUGUCCUUGCUGGGCUAUGGGUUCUAUGGGGACAUCCUGAGGGACAGUGAGAAGAAGCGCUGGAUGGGCCUGAUCCGCUACGACCUCUCAGGUUUUAAGACUUUCCUUUCUCAUCACUGCUAUGAAGGAACAGUGGCCUUCCUCCCGGCGCAGCACACUGUGGGUUCUCCAAGGGACAAGAAGCCCUGCCGAACGGGGUGCUUCAUUUGCAGGCAGAGUAAGCAACAGCUGAAAGAUGAGCAGAAAAAAUCCCUAUAUGGCUUGGAAAAUACAGAGGGAGUAGAAGAGUGGAAAGUUAUCCAGGGGAAGUUUCUGGCAAUCAAUGCGGCCAACAUGAGCUGUGCCUGUCCCCGGAGCCCCAAGGGCCUGUCCCCGGCGGCCCACUUGGCCGAUGGUUCCUCAGACCUCAUCCUGGUCCGCAAAUGUUCCCGGCUGAACUUUCUGAGGUAUCUCAUCAGGCAUACAAAUCAAGAUGACCAGUUUGACUUUGCAUUUGUUGAGGUUUACCGGGUGAGGAAAUUUCAGUUCACCUCAAAGCAUUUAGACGAUGAGGAUGGGGACCUCAAGGAUUUAGGGAAGAAACGAUUUGGGCAGAUCUGCAGCGAUCAUCCCGCCUGCUGCUGCAGCCUUCCCAACAGUACCUGGAACUGUGAUGGAGAGAUUCUGAACAAUUCUGCUAUUGAAGUCAGGGUUCACUGCCAGCUGCUGCAGCUCUUUGCCCGAGGGAUCGAGGAGACCCCGACGCAGGAAGCCCUCAGCUGAGAGAGCGUGGCGGCGGAGGCCUUGCGGUGCAGCCAGCGCUUAAAUACUGAAAAAGCAUGGAAACAAGUGGCCUUUUGGGAGCAGCCUUGGUCAGCUGGACUACAAAGGCCCAGCAGGUCCUUUUUCAGGAAUGGACAGACGAAGGGGGAGUUAUUGGGAAGUGAUCACAGUGGCAAUAAAAGCAACAUCAGUAAACCUUUAAAAAAAAAAGAAAGAAAGAAAGAAAGAAAGAAAGAAAGAAAGAAAGAAAGAAAGAAAGAAAGAAAGAAAGAAAGAAAGAAAGAAAGAAAAACAAAGCAGAUGAACAAAGCACGGUGCCCAAACUUACAUGCAGAAGGACAAGAAACCCAUUAAAAUAUGGUCUUGGAAAAGUGCUCCAAGUGGAUAAUAACAACUCUUCCUUCUUUAACAUUUUAUGGUUUGCAAGAAGCUUUCCUUAUAACAACCCUGGGACAGAGGUCGAAGGGGGCCGGCAGUCAGCAGUUGGGGAAAAGGAAGAGCCCAGAUGAGAAGGCAAUAACCCUGACCUUGGUUCUUGGCCAGAUUCUAGAACACAUUAUUAGAUGGAUAAUUACACGGAGAGCAUUUAGAGUCUUUACAAGGAGUUUGCAUGGCUUCAUUCAGAACAGGUCUUGCUAGACUAGCACCAUGGUCUUUUAAAGCAGGGAUGCUCGGGUUCUAAACCCAAAUAGGUGGGGAGGGCAAGGAUUCACCCCGACUUGUGAGAUCCUUUUGAGGCGACCUGUCUGAAACAAACAAACAACAAAAAAAAAUGCCCAAAGUGUACACAGAGUCCAAGCUGGUUUCUAUUCUGGAAGACGGAAGUACCUUGACUAUAGUCUGGGAAAAUCUUCCUUAAAGCAGCAACAGCAGUGUUUUAAGGAGGAACAAGAAAAAAUCAUCAGAGAUGACUUCAAGGACCACCUUUGUCACUGCCUACAGUUGAAUUCUUCAGAAAAGUUAGGUUUGGAAAGAGAAUGCUGGAAAGGUGGCAUUUGAAAAUGGGAUAAGGUUUCUGCAUCAUGCAUAGCAAUAGUGGCCAGAGGUAGAGUGCACCUGACUUAGGUCAGGAAAAAUACUUUGGCCUAAAUCUCAGUCUACUGGAGAGUUUGAAAUGAAAAUGAGGGAAAAGUCAAGAGGGAGGAAACCAUCAAGACCGGUACCGUGGAAAGCAGCCAGAAAGGAAUGGAACACAAAAGGAGCAGGGAUUCAUGGGAGACAAUAUCCAGAAUGAAAGCCGGCGGGAAAAGCCACGGGUCAUGGGCAGAGGGGCCCAGACGUCCUACCAGUGCAGGCAGGCGGCGGUUCCAGAAGGGCUGAGACCUGGAGAGAACCACAGUGGACGGCAGGUGAGAAUACAUGUAGACGUUGCUACCUGCUCUAACUAGACAUGGCACCAUCAGGGAAAGAACGAGGAUUGAGAACCUGAUAGGGCAGGGGCACAAACCAAAUCCAGCCAUUCCUACCCCCGAAAUUCAGAUUUUCUUGGGGGUUGGGGUGUUCACACGUGAGAAGAGAGAGAAGAAGAAAAGUUUUCCAGAGGAGGUGACACAAGAGCCACUUCUAAGGGAGGAUUUAAGCGCAGCCUGGAUGACCACUUGUUGGAAAAGCUUCAUCUCAAGGACCCCCCCCCCCUUUUCAACUCUGGGACUCUCUGAUUAUAGGAGGUCUUGGCCUUGGAGGAUUUCACAGUCUAGUUAAAGACAAAUUGAUUUGAACUGGACUGACGUGAAUUGAUUGACAUGGUUCUAUAGGGAAAUGAAUCGACUUGAGCCGAAUUGAUGAAAAUGCAAAAGGAUUCACAAGAAUAGAGCUGUCAUGGGGAAAUGGGAUUAGCCCUAUUCUGCUUGGCCCCAGAAGGCAGAAGGCGUAACAAUGGGCAAAACCGAAAGGGUUUAAUAUUGAGAGGAAUUGAAAUCAAGUGCACUGAGUGACAUGGCUCAGCAGGAUCAUUCUCCCAAGGACGGAAUAGUGAUAAUGAGGUUUCUGCCAACUCAGAUUCAAGUUUCAAGGCAAGUCCUCUGAAACAGAAGUUGGAUUAGAGUCUUUUAAAGCCCUUUCAAUGCUGAAUUUUCAAGUAUUUUCCCUAAAACACGCUCCAGAAGAAAACUUGUGCAGGUCAUUUUUGUUUUGUUUUAAAUAACUUCUGUUUAAAGUUCUUUCUGAACUAGAAAACUACCAACAAACAACAGUUUUACAUGAAUUAUGACACCAUAAAUUUCUAUUACCGUUUUUGAAAAGGUAUGUAUGCAAUUACAUUGGAUGAAUGCAUAAAUGAAAACACGGUGGGGGCAGCUCGGUGGCACAGUGGCUAGAGCCCCAGCCCUGAAAUCAAGAGGACCUGAAUUCAAAUCUGACCUCAGACACUUAACACUUCCUAACUGUGUGACCCUGGCAAGCACUUAACCCCAACUGCCUAGCAAAAAAAAAGAAAAGAAAAAAACUUGUGUCAGGGAUUAUCUUAAAGUGCUGAGGAUACAAAUACUGCCCAAAACAACAAAAAAAACCCAGUUCCUGCUCCCACAGACCUUAUUGCCUUCUAACAGGCACCUCUCAGGGAGGGUGACAAGAGGAGGGUGUUUUUGGUGAAGGUGCAAGUCUCAGGAGUGUGAUGGAGGUAGCUGAUGGAGAGUCUCCUGUAAAUCUGGUAGAUCCGCAGGCCAGUUUCUGACAGUUACCGCUGGGCUGAGCCGAGCCCCUGGGA